rnacentral:rRNA from 1 species
AUGUUGCUGAAUUCUUGCAAGGAGCACCAGGGCGAGCAGCAAGGUGGACGCAGCGGGGAGCACCUGCGAGCAGCAAGGUGGGCGCAGCGGGGAUCACCUAGGCGAGUAGCAAGGGAGGGCUCCCUGGGUGCAGUGGCAAGGGAGGGCGCCCUGGCGCGGCAAGGGAGGGCCUGGGCGUGGCUGGGAGGGCCUAGGCGCGGAGAGGAUGGCCUGCGCGCGACCUGGGGACCGAAGCUGGGCGGCGAGGACGAGCGCCUGGGCGCGGCCUGGGGACCGAAGCUGGGCGGCGAGGACGAGCACCUGGAUGCGGGGACGUGA